rnacentral:lncRNA from 1 species
GAGCCCGAGCGAGAGGCGCUUCAGAGAAGGAGGGACCGACCUGCAGGAGCCGACCGCCCCGCCGAGCUGCAGUCGCUGCCGCCGCCGCUGUCGCUGUCAGAACCCGUCCGAAGAGUGACACCUUCGCGAAAAAACAGGAGCUGUGAAACAUUUGCACACGCAGUCUUCGGAUCCCAGGUCCCCAUUCAUGAGCCCGGGCUGUGAGACAUGUUCCAUGUGCCAAGGGGAGUUCUCACCAAAUCUUCUGAGGCUGUCCUAGACAUACACUGUUCGGUCUGAGUCAGCAUCACCAGCUUAUCCAAGAGAAGUCCUAUCAUAUUCAUUAACAACGUCGAAAGUAGCCUACUUUAAGAGAAAAUAUGCAGAAGAAGAAGAUUUACAUCAAGAUUACCAUGGGUAUUUUCCAAAACACCUGAUAUUACCCGAAGACAGGACUUGUAUCCUCAAACUUUCUCUGGAGAAGCUCAGGUUUCUUGAAGACCCAGAAACCUACCUGAGAAGGUCUGUGUUAAUUAACAAUUUGCUGAGGAAGAUACACCUAGAGACGGAGAAAGAGAGCUAUGAAUACUUCAAGGAAGCUCCCUGCUAUAAGACUGCUUAUUCUGAUACGAGAAAACGGCUGAAGUUUAUGGUACAGGAGUGCUGUUCCCAGUCUCUCUACUAUGAAGAGCUGCACUCCUACCACAUUGUGCCUUACACUUCGGAGAGCGCCAUCUAUGGGAUGGGCUACACUGGUGACCACUUGGAGCAAAAUUCUCAGUUGCUCAUUUAUAAAAUGAAUUAAAAAG